UACGGAGGAUCCAAGCGUGAUCCGGAUUCAUUGGGUUUAAAGGGUGCGUAGGCGGACUGAUAAGUCAGUGGUGAAAGCCUGCAGCUUAACUGCAGAACUGCCAUUGAUACUGUCAAUCUUGAGUACAUUUGAUGUGGGCGGAAUGUGUCAUGUAGCGGUGAAAUGCUUAGAUAUGACACAGAACACCGAUUGCGAAGGCAGCUCACAAAACUGUAACUUACGCUGAGGCACGAAAGCGUGGGUAUCAAACAGG
rnacentral:rRNA from 1 species